GCGUAUCUUGAAUGUCAAAACAACUCUCGGCAACGGAUAUCUCGGCUCUCGCAUCGAUGAAGAACGUAGCGAAAUGCGAUACUUGGUGUGAAUUGCAGAAUCCCGUGAACCAUCGAGUCUUUGAACGCAAGUUGCGCCCGAAGCCUUCGGGCCGAGGGCACGCCUGCCUGGGCGUCACG
rnacentral:rRNA from 1 species